ACUCCUACGGGAGGCAGCAGUAGGGAAUCUUCCACAAUGGGCGCAAGCCUGAUGGAGCAACACCGCGUGAGUGAAGAAGGGUUUCGGCUCGUAAAGCUCUGUUGUUAAAGAAGAACACGUAUGAGAGUAACUGUUCAUACGUUGACGGUAUUUAACCAGAAAGUCACGGCUAACUACGUGCCAGCAGCCGCGGUAAUACGUAGGUGGCAAGCGUUAUCCGGAUUUAUUGGGCGUAAAGAGAGUGCAGGCGGUUUUCUAAGUCUGAUGUGAAAGCCUUCGGCUUAACCGGAGAAGUGCAUCGGAAACUGGAUAACUUGAGUGCAGAAGAGGGUAGUGGAACUCCAUGUGUAGCGGUGGAAUGCGUAGAUAUAUGGAAGAACACCAGUGGCGAAGGCGGCUACCUGGUCUGCAACGUGACGCUGAGACUCGAAAGCAUGGGUAGCGAACAGGAUUAGAUACCCCGUGGUAGGAUAGCG
rnacentral:rRNA from 1 species